rnacentral:sRNA from 1 species
AUGGAGGAUGCAUGGCAGGAGCGUCUGCAUGGUUCUUGAGAGCUGCGUAAGCAGCAAAAGGAUGGAGGAUAACGGCUGAGCUGAGCUGAGCUCCUCCUCCUCAUCAAUCAUCAGUUUGUAUUUGUCCAUGCCUCUCAUGGCCUUCUUCCCUGGCUUCCAGUUCCAGAUGGCUCAGUGAGGCGUCGACAGAGACCGGCAAGUCAGAAAUCGGCAAUGGUGAGCUCCUACAGGAGCCUA